AGACUCUGGUGUUGCAAGUAUCACGAAUGCUUGCAGUACCGUAGCGUAAGUGUUAAGUCUGCCGCCUGGGGAGUACGGCCGCAAGGUUGAAACUUAAAGCAAUUGGCGGGGGAGCACACAAGGGGUGGAUGCUGCGGUUUAAUUGAAUCCAACGUCGGAAAUAUUACCAGAAGCGACGGCAGUGUGAAGGUCAGACUGAAGAUCUUACCUGACAAGCCGAGAGGUAGUGCAUGGCGACCGUCAGCUCGUGGUGUGAACUGUCCGGUUAAGUCCGGUAACGAGCGAGACCCUCGCUUACAGUUGCUACCUGCUUAGAGAUAAGCAGGGCACUCUGUUAGGACCGCCUUCGUUUAAGGAGGAGGAAGGAGAGGGCGACGAUACGUCAGUAUGCUCUGAAUCUUCUGGGCUACACGCGGCAUACAAAGGUCGGCACAAUGAGAUGCAACACCGAAAGGUGAAGCUAAUCCCCUAAAACCGGCCCAAGUUCGGAUUGAGGGCUGAAACUCGCCCUCAUGAAGCUGGAAUCCCUAGUAAUCGCUUGUCACUAUCGAGCGGUGAAUACGUCCCUGCUCCUUGCACACACCGCCUACCAAGCCACCCAAGUGAGGUCUUAGUGAGGCAGCGCCACUGGCGUUUUCGAACUAAGGUUUCGCGAGGUGGGCUAAGGUAUAACAAGGUAUCCGUAGGGGAACCUGCGGAUAGAUCACCUCAAAA
rnacentral:rRNA from 1 species